rnacentral:rRNA from 1 species
UAGACCCGAAACCCGGUGAUCUAGCCAUGGGCAGGUUGAAGGUUGGGUAACACUAACUGGAGGACCGAACCGACUAAUGUUGAAAAAUUAGCGGAUGACUUGUGGCUGGGGGUGAAAGGCCAAUCAAACCGGGAGAUAGCUGGUUCUCCCCGAAAGCUAUUUAGGUAGCGCCUCGUGAAUUCAUCUCCGGGGGUAGAGCACUGUUUCGGCAAGGGGGUCAUCCCGACUUACCAACCCGAUGCAAACUGCGAAUACCGGAGAAUGUUAUCACGGGAGACACACGGCGGGUGCUAACGUCCGUCGUGAAGAGGGAAACAACCCAGACCGCCAGCUAAGGUCCCAAAGUCAUGGUUAAGUGGGAAACGAUGUGGGAAGGCCCAGACAGCCAGGAUGUUGGCUUAGAAGCAGCCAUCAUUUAAAGAAAGCGUAAUAGCUCACUGGUCGAGUCGGCCUGCGCGGAAGAUGUAACGGGGCUAAACCAUGCACCGAAGCUGCGGCAGCGACACUGUGUGUUGUUGGGUAGGGGAGCGUUCUGUAAGCCUGUGAAGGUGUACUGUGAGGUAUGCUGGAGGUAUCAGAAGUGCGAAUGCUGACAUAAGUAACGAUAAAGCGGGUGAAAAGCCCGCUCGCCGGAAGACCAAGGGUUCCUGUCCAACGUUAAUCGGGGCAGGGUGAGUCGACCCCUAAGGCGAGGCCGAAAGGCGUAGUCGAUGGGAAACAGGUUAAUAUUCCUGUACUUGGUGUUACUGCGAAGGGGGGACGGAGAAGGCUAUGUUGGCCGGGCGACGGUUGUCCCGGUUUAAGCGUGUAGGCUGGUUUUCCAGGCAAAUCCGGAAAAUCAAGGCUGAGGCGUGAUGACGAGGCACUACGGUGCUGAAGCAACAAAUGCCCUGCUUCCAGGAAAAGCCUCUAAGCAUCAGGUAACAUCAAAUCGUACCCCAAACCGACACAGGUGGUCAGGUAGAGAAUACCAAGGCGCUUGAGAGAACUCGGGUGAAGGAACUAGGCAAAAUGGUGCCGUAACUUCGGGAGAAGGCACGCUGAUAUGUAGGUGAAGCGACUUGCUCGUGGAGCUGAAAUCAGUCGAAGAUACCAGCUGGCUGCAACUGUUUAUUAAAAACACAGCACUGUGCAAACACGAAAGUGGACGUAUACGGUGUGACGCCUGCCCGGUGC